GUGGUUUAAUUCGAUGAUACGUGAGGAACCUUACCUGGGCUUAAAUGUAGAGUGCAUUGGAGGGAAACGUUUCAUUUUCUUCGGAACUCUUUACAAGGUGCUGCAUGGUUGUCGUCAGCUCGUGCCGUGAGGUGUCGGGUUAAGUCCCAUAACGAGCGCAACCCCUAUCUCUAGUUGCCAGCGAUUCGGUCGGGGACUCUAGAGAUACUGCCCCGGUUAACGGGAGGAAGGUGGGGAUGACGUCAAGUCCUCAUGGCCCUUAUGCCCAGGGCUACACACGUGCUACAAUGGGCGGUACAAAGGGUAGCGAUGCCGCGAGGUGAAGCCAAUCCCAAAAAGCCGUCCACAGUUCGGAUUGGAGUCUGCAACUCGACUCCAUGAAGCCGGAAUCGCUAGUAAUCGUGGAUCAGCAUGCCACGGUGAAUACGUUCCCGGGCCUU
rnacentral:rRNA from 1 species